rnacentral:rRNA from 1 species
CUACGGGUUGCUGCAGUGGGGAAUUUUGGACAAUGGGCGCAAGCCUGAUCCAGCAAUGCCGCGUGCAGGAUGAAGGCCUUCGGGUUGUAAACUGCUUUUGUACGGAACGAAACGGCGAGCUCUAAUAAAGCUUGCUAAUGACGGUACCGUAAGAAUAAGCACCGGCUAACUACGUGCCAGCAGCCGCGGUAAUACGGAGGGUGCGAGCGUUAAUCGGAAUUACUGGGCGUAAGGCGUGGGAAGGCGGUUAUAUAAGACAGAUGUGAAAUCCCCGGGCUCAACCUGGGACCUGCAUUUGUGACUGUAUGGCUAGAGUACGGUAGAGGGGGAUGGAAUUCCGCGUGUAGCAGUGAAAUGCGUAGAUAUGCGGAGGAACACCGAUGGCGAAAGCAAUCCCCUGGACCUGUACUGACGCUCAUGCACGAAAGCGUGGGGAGCAAACAGGAUUAGAUACCCUAGUAGUC